GGAUGAGGAGGAGGAGGAGGAGGAGGAGGAAGCAGUAGUGAGAACAAAGAAAAACCUGGCCCCGCCCCUUAAAGGCAAGGGUCAACAGGCCACAUCCAAAGGUCAACAGGCUACUGCCAAGAACAGCACGCCUGCCUCAGCAGGGAAAAACGCAUCCGCCUCCAAGUCCUCAGGUAAGAAGGCCACACCCCCCAAUGUGAAGGCCAACACCUCUGCAGGUAAAGCUCCGCCCCGUUUUGGGAGUCGGGUCAGCGCCCGUCUGAGCCACGAGAUCCUGGCACCAAACGGCAACACCAAAACCUCAUCGGGUCAGACCGAGCCCCGCAAGAAAUCACCAACAGCUCCGCCUCCUAAAACCUCCAGACCCGUCCUCCCUCCUUCAUCCUCCUCUUCGUCCAGCCGACGUUCCUCCGGCAGGAACUACGGCGUCCACGAGCUGUCGGCCUGUGAGCAGCUGACUGUGGAGCUCGUCAGACAUGAAGACAGCUGGCCGUUCAAGAAGCUGGUGUCCAGGACUCAGGUACGCUGUAUUCAUUAAUAUUUAUACACCUGUAUAUUAAUAUAUACACAGGUAUAUUAAUAUAUACACACCUGGAUACACAGGUAUAUU